AGGACGAACGCUGGCGGCGUGCUUAACACAUGCAAGUGGAGCGACGAACCAGGGCUUGCCCUGGGGCAGAGCCGCGAACGGGUGAGUAUCACGUGGGUAACGUACCCCGAUGACUGGGACAACCCGGGGAAACCCGGGCUAAUACCGGAUGUGCCCCCUCACAUCAGUGAGGUGUGUAAAGGAAGCUUCGGCCUCCGCAUCGGGAUCGGCCUGCGGCCCAUUAGCUUGUUGGUGAGGUAACGGCUCACCAAGGCUUCGAUGGGUAGCUGGUCUGAGAGGACGAUCAGCCACACGUGGGACUGAGACACGGCCCAGACUCCUACGGGAGGCAGCAGUGGGAAUCUGCGCAAUGCGACGAAAGCGUGACGCAGCAACGCCGCGGUGGGGGAAGAAGGCCGUUCGGUACCGUAAACCCCCGUUUCGAGGUUGGGACGAAGGUCGGCCGUUAAUAGCGGUUCCGUCGUA
rnacentral:rRNA from 1 species